rnacentral:lncRNA from 1 species
CAACGCCUCCGUCCACGUCGUCAUGUACGCCUACUACUUCCUCACCGCCCUCUCCUUCCGCCCCUCCUGGAAGCGCGCCGUCACCGACUUCCAGAUCCUCCAGUUCCUCUUCAGCUUCGCAAUUUCUGCCCUAAUGCUCCACUACCACUUCUCCACCUCCGGAUGCUCCGGAAUUUGGGGCUGGUGCUUCAAUGCCCUCUUCAACGCCUCUCUUUUGGCCCUUUUUCUUGAUUUUCAUCUCAAGAGUUAUGCUAACAGGAGGAACACCGCCCACAAACGCAUUCUUCACAAGGACUCCUAAUCUUCAGUAAGACGCAAUAUAAUUAUUUACUUGUUGCAUUUCAAUGACACUGCUAUUUCCUUACAAUUCAAACCAUGAAGCUUUUUUAUUGUCUAGACUGAACAUGUAUUAGUCUUACAAUUACAGUUGUAUGUUUCAUUCUCCUCCCUGCUUCCAACACCCAAAUGGACGUUUUCCUGGUACGUCUUGAUAAAAAUUACGACUUCAAGAGGCUAGCUCUGGAAUGGAAAAAAAUUUCUGUUUUAAAACUUGCGUCUUUAUUCAGUGUUUCUGUUCUUGAGAAAUUGUGCUUUGAAAAUUUGAGUUUUUGAUGCAUACUAUCACUUGAAUUAUGUUAUUAGAUUAUUUGAAUUUUAAAAUUUGAAAGUUGCAAUGAAUUUGGUUUUGGAUAAAAUUUUAGUCUUUUAAAUUACAAUAAAUUCAAUGUUAAUCCGUUAACUUUACUGUAUAAAUAAUAUUGACGGUUAAAAAAAAAACAUUUUAGUGUCUGAAGUUUAAAAUGGCCUUUUCUUCAAAUUUGAAACCUAAAAUAUUUACUUAAAAAAAUUAAAAGACUGAAAUCAGAUACAUCCUUAAACUUCAUACAUUAAAAAUGGAAUUAAUGCCUAUUGUUUUCAACGUAUUAGUGUUCACCGAUUCAGGCUAAUGUAUUAUGUUGAUGUUGGUUAUUUUAUCAUGUUUAUAUGAUGUUUUUGGAUAAAUGUAUUAUUUUGCUAUUUUAUUUUAUGAUUCAGGCUUAAACAGCCGUUCUCUUUAAUCUUCCGUUAGCUUUAAAAAUUAGAAGAAAAAAAUAUGCAACCUUUGACUGUAGACCAAGUUUUUUAUAGAUUCACAUAAAGAAUUUUCUUAAUCUCAAAUUUAAGUAAAACUAAUUAUGUAUUAUUUGUUGAUAUAUUAUAUUAUAUCAAAAUAUUCAAUCUUAUUAAAAAAAAUCUAAUGUAGGAGGUUGGACAGAUUAUGUUAAGAAUGUACGGAGAAUAAUGGACUCAAAUUUUCACAAUAGAAGACGUGUCUGCCUGAAUAGUUUAUUCUACAUUGUCAACUUUGAUUAUGUCAUAGUCUAUUUUUUAGUCUUAAUUUAACAUUUCUCAUCACUAUAUUUUAACAAAUUUAGUGAAAUAAAUUAAUUUAAAAAGAUAACAGAAAAAUUAGGUUAAAUAAGAGUAAAAUUAUAAUUAUGUCCCAAUUAAAUAAACUUCACAACUAAAACAAUUAAUUUUAAUCUUAAUAAACUUGUUUACAUGAUAUUUGAAGAGAAAAUGAAUUUGGGAUGGAAUUAUAUCACUAUAAGCUUUUUGGUUAAUUUUAUUAAACUAGGAUAAAUUGGCAAAUCUUGUAUAAUAGUUUAGAAAAAAAGAAAAUAAUUAACAUACCAUCUAUACCUCUCUCUCUGUAUAUAUUUAAUUUUAUUGUUUUCGUGUACAUAUUUUCUUUCCCAUUCUAUCCUUUAAAUAAUUGUUAUUUUAAAUUAAAAUAAUUGUGUUUUCAUUUUUAUCCUUUAAAUGUCAGUUAAUUUAAAUUUAAUAUUUCUUAAAUUAAAGUAAUUAUUUUUUCAUUUUAGUCUUUUAGUUAUUAUUUAUUUAAAUUCAAAUAUUUUGUAACUAAAUUAAUUGUCUGUAAUAAAAAGAAGAAACACGUGUUUUCAUCGUAAAAGUUAAUAAUGUUACAUAUAUUUUUAAGAAGACAAGUUUUAAAUUUGUAUUUUGUAUGUGUUUUUAUGUUAAUAAAUAUAUAUUAUAUUAAAAUAUAUUUAAAUAGAUAUUAUAUUAAAAUAUAUUUAGAUGUUAAGAAAUAUUAAAUUAUAUUUAGAAGUUGAGGGAAAAUAAUAAUAUUUUUAAGUUUAUAAUUAAAUUUUAAAUAGAAUCAACAUUAUAAAUUAUUUAUAAGUUAAAAAAGUUAAUAUAUAUGAAAAAUUGUACAGAAUAAAUUUUGUAAAAUUACAAAAGAUUUAACAUGUGAAAAUAUAUAGAGUAAAUUAUAAAAAUACAAAGGAUGGAUUAUGUAAAAAUAUGUUGAGUAUAUUGAUUAUAAAUACAAAUUAAUGUAUGGACAUAUUAGUCUAAUGUGUAUUAUUAGACUUGUAUAAUUAGUGCAUUGGUAUAUUUGUCUAAUAUAUAAUUUUAGACUCAUGUAAUAAGUAUAUGAACACAUUCAUUUGAUGUGUAUUGUUAUACUCAUUUAAUGUGUAUAUACAAACUCGUCUAAUAUGUAUUGCAAGAUGCGUCUAAUCAAAUAAUUAAUAUAGUUAUCUAAUGUGUUUUAAUUAGUCUAUAGGCAAAUGUGUGUUGCAAAACUUGUUUAUUUAAUAUAUGGAUGUACUCCCUUAAUACAUAUUCUUAUAGACUUAUCUAACCAAUGUAAGAAAUUAUUUGUUUUAUGUUUUAUGGACAAAAUUAUUAUCUAAUUCAUGGGUAGUCUUUUAAUGUGUAUUGCUAAAUCGGUCUAAUUAGUGUUUCGACAUAAUCAUUUAAUGUAUAUUGCAAGAUUUAUCUAAUUAGUUGUUUAAUCAUUCUUUAAAUAGAUUCCUCUAAUGAGUAUUUUCAAACUCAUGUAAUCAAUGUAUAAAAUGUGUCGUUCAAUGUAUUUUUGUUAUACAUGUCAACUGAUUGUAUGUACAAACUGAUUUAAUGUGUAUUGUUAAACUUGUUCAAUCAGUACAUUAACAGACCCAUUUAAUUUUUUUUGUUAUAUUUGUUUAAUCAAUAAAUGUAAUGACUCGUCUAAUAUUUUUUGUUAUACUUAUUUAAUUAAUAUAUAGAUAAACUCGUCUAAUGUAAAUUUUUAAACUUGUCUAAUGUUUUUUGUUAUACUAAUCUAAUCAUUAUAUGGACAUAUUGGCCUAUUCUGCAUUGUAAGAUUAAUUUAAUAAUUUUUGUUAUAUUUGUUACAUAAUGAACUAAAUGAUUUGCUUAAUGUAUAUGGUUAGACUUGUCUAAUUCUUUUAUAUUCAUUUAAUUAGUGUGUGAACAAAAUCAAUUAAUGUAUUUAUAAACUCAUGUAAUCAAUUUAUGUUUAAUAUAUAAUUUUAUUUUCAUUUAAUAAUAAUAUAAAUACAUUAGUAAUAUAUUUUAACAUAAUUAGUUUAUUACAUUUUAUCCUCUCUUUUUCAGUCUUACUAAAAUUAUAAGUUAUUACAUGAAAACAAUAAAAAAUGAAUUAAAAAAUGUAAAGUAAAAAAUAAAAUAUUAAAAAAUAUGAUUUUAUUACUAUAAAUAUAUUAUUCAAACAUUUGAAAUGAACUAUUAAAUAAAACAAAAAUCAGUGUAACUCUUUCAUUACAAAUAUAUAUUUUAAACUUUUGAAAUGAAUUAUGGAAUACAAUAUUUUAAUUUUUUUUUUCAAAUAUAAUUAUUUUAAACUUUAUAUGGAGUUUUUAGUACAUAUUAUUAAUGUUAAUUUUUAUUAGAUAAAAUUAAUUUAAUUUUAAAUACUAAAAAGAGAAAGAAUAUUAUAGAAACGAUAAGUAUGAUUUUUUAUUGAUAAACUUUUUAAGACAAAAUUAUUUCCUCACAAUUGCUUUUUAUUUUACUAUCAAUAAACAUAUAUUAUUUUCUAAAUAAUAUUUUUUUAUGAAAUAAAAUUAAAAUAUUUUUUAAAUUUAAUUUUAUUAAAUGACUAACUAAUUAAAAUAAAAAAAUAGUAUAUAAUAAAAUUAAUACUUUAAAUAUAAGUUAUUCUUCAAGAUAAUAAAUGUGUUGAAAGUAUGUUAGAUUUUUUAUUUUUUUUAAAUGGUUAAAAUGUGUUUAAGGAUACACAUUAAAAGAAUUAUUUAUUUAUUUAUUUAAAAAAUGGAUUUCCUUUAAAAAUACUAAAUAUAAAUCAUGGGUAAAAACAUAAAUUAUCUAUGUGGCAGAAAAGGAAAAAAAUUAAAAAUAUUAAAUAACAAAAAAACUUAGACACUUAUCAACAAAAUAAAAAGAUGACUUUUAUAGUACCAUCUUUUAUAGAAAAUAGAUAUUAUCCUCUUUUAUUAUCUAUUAUAAUAUAUAACAGAUAUUAAUUUAAUUUAUACCAAAUAGAUAAUAGAUAAUUGAUUAAUAGAAUAAUUUCAAUUUUAUAUAUAAUUGACAUUUUGAAUGUUGAUAUAAAAAUUUUAAAGGUAAGAAAGUAAUAGUUGUAGAGCUAAAAUAAUAAUUUAUUACAUAUUAAAUGUUAAAGUUGAAAUAUAUUGAUAUUUUUAAAGUAAAUCAAUUUAAAAAAAAAAUCAAAUAGAUAAAAAAGGUAGAAUAACGUUUUAGAGAGACAUUUUUUUAUAUGACAAUGUAAAUUAUGAAAAAAAAUAGUACGAAAUUUUUAUAAUAUAAACUUGUUGACCAAUUAAUUAGCAACAAAAUAAGUAUAAAUGUAAAAUUAAAAAAUAAAAUAAUUCUCAUCUAUAUGUGUGAUAACAAAAUAAAUAUAAAUAAAGAAGAAAUUAAAAAUAUAAAAUGAUUGAAAAUAAAAUGAAUAAUACCACUGUUAUACUUGUAGUAGAAUUAAAUAUUUAAACCAUUUGAUCCAAGGUUAAUCACCACCACAUGGCAUCUUAAUUUUGAAAGUUGUCUUUGAAGAAUAGUUUUAAAAAUUAGAUGGUUGGUUUGAUUGGAAGAUGGUGGUUGACUCUUUUAUUAUAAUUAAUAUAUCAUUAUUUCAAUGGGACUCAAAUCAAUAUCAAAAUAUCUAUUUUCAGAUAAAUCGAUUACUUGUAUGCAUAUAAUUAAUAUAAGUAACAAAACAAUAACUCAGGAAAAAACAAACUUUAUGCAACACCUUCUAAACAUAAAUAAAACAAAUAAAAACUCAUAAAUAAAAAUUUAUAUAGUAUUAUACCAAUUUAAAAUUUCAUCACCACAAUUGAUGAAAAUAGGAAAGAAUAGUUCAAUAAAUCUAAAAUUAAUGAAAAGUAACUAACUCUAAUAAAUAAGACAAUACUUUUCAUAAUUUUUUAAAAUUAUUUUCUUCUCUCCCAUCCCACAACCUACUUACAUUUCAUCAUCUUCUAAUUUCUUAAUUAAAUACACAUUCCAUUUAGUUUUUUUUUUUAAAUUGAAAUUCAUGAGAAGUAUAGAUGCAACUUAAUAAAAAAAAAAAACAUAGAAGUGGGUAAAAUUUUCAUAAUUAAAUCAUGCAUUUUUUUUUUCUAAAAAUUAUUUGGUUUUUAAGUUGAGUUUAUUAGAUGAUUCUUUUAUUCGAUUAUUAGUAUAAGUUAUUAUCGAGGUACGGAAAAAGUUAUUUACGAUCCAAUAUACAAAAUAGAUUUAAUCGUGAUUUUAGUAUACUAAAAUAAAUUAAUUUUAAAUUUGUCGUUAAUUAUAAUUUUUACUGUAAAAUAAGUUAUUUCAAAGAUUUCGAAAAAAAUUUCGUGUUAACAUCAUAUAUAAAUACUAGCAGAUUCCACUUAAAACAUGUAUACUUUUGAUUGGUACUUCAUAAGAAAGCAUUUACAAUAAAGAGGAAACUUGUUUUCAUUCAUAUGCUAAUGUUUUGUUUUGGAAUAGUUGUACAUGAAUCCUACAAGUGUAUGUUUAAUUAACUUUGCAAAACAAAAAAAAAAAAAAAAGCAUUUGAAGAAACAUUAAAUGUGGUAUACAGUUUGGUUUAAAAAUGAAUGCUAAAAAUAAUAAAACCUAACCUAAAUUUUGCUGUUUGAUCGUGAUUUUAGGAACAUAUAUUCCUAUUCCUAUUAAAUUUGUCUAUUUAUACCAAAGAGUUGGGAGAAUUAGGGUUGGCAAUUGGGUCAGAAAUUAAUGUUAGAGUAUUUGAUAGAUAACCCACACAUUAAUAAUCAUAGUAAUGUUUAUGGUUACUAUAAUUGCCUCUAGAGUAAUUUUAAACUAAUAAUAAAAUGAUAAAUAAAUAAUAUUAAAAUAUUAUAAAAAAGAAUGUUUUUACAGUAACAUUAUUUUUUACUAAAUUUUGUUGGGUGCGAGGGAGGACAAAACACACUAAAAAAUCUUGUGGUAAUAUGUGAGAGCAGUCAACAAUCCUUGUAAGUUGUCAUGGUGUGAAAAAAUAAAAUAAAAAAAACUAUAUUGGGAUUACGUAAAAAAAAAAUGAUAUUCAUAGCAAAACCCAGCAGUACUAAUAUUCACUAAAUAGAGUGUGUCCCUUUCAAAAACAUAAAGGGAGGCACCUACCUUCUGCAGUGCCCCCAUUUUCAUCCAUUCACUAAAUAAUCAAUGUUGUUAGUUGGUAGAUGCAGAUCAACAUUUCAAAUUUAAAUAUUCACUGCCUUAUUUAUUGGUAUUCAAUGAAUAUUACAAUGCAUUUGUUGUGAGAGUUUAUGCUGUAACUAAACAAAUCCUAAAAACCAUAACACAUGGCAUUGCUAUGAAGCUUCACUGUCACACUGCCUGCAGUUAGAGCAGUUAUUAGAGAAGGUCUCAUCAUGUCUCAAAAACACUUGGACAUCAUUCCAACUGUUAAAAUAAAAUAUAUCACCUUUUCUUCUUCUUUUAAAUUUGAAUUUUAAAUUAUUAUUAUUUUUGAAUGGUCAAGAUCUCAUGCAGAAUGAGUCACUGUAGAGACCAUGCAUUUGCUUCUGCUCAGAUUGCCACAUUUAUUGAGCAACUCUAACACCUUAUAGCAAAUGGAUUUUCUCUCUCACUAAUAAUACACACACACACACUUACUUUACCAGCUGUAUAUCAUCACUGUUCAUUACUUAUAGUGUUUCAGCCUACCCUCUCACACUGUCAUACCAUAUAUACAUCAAACAACUUCAAGCUUGCAGUUUUCCUCCUCCAAACAUUCUGGAUUUCAAGAUCUCUCUCUUCUUCCUCAGCAGCACAGUACUAGGUUGUUUUUGUGUUGUGUUGUUUUUGUGCUGUUGUGGUAGUUGAGUUUGAGAAAAUGUUAUCAUCAGGGUUGGAUUUGGAGUACUGGCUAGUGAACCAUCCUACCAUAAGAAACUUCUCAUGGACACCAGGUAAAACCCUAGGUUCCUCACCACACUUUCUCUUCUUCACCAUUCUCUCUUACCUUUUCUCCACCUUCAUUCUACCCCACAGGAUCAUAUCUUCCUCCAUAUCACCACAGUUCAUCAAAACCAUCUCAGCCCUCCACAACAUCUUCCUCCUUCUCCUCUCUUUCACCAUGGCUCUUGGCUGCCUCCUCUCCACCCUCUACCAUGCACCUCACCUCCACUGGAUCGUCUGCUUCCCUCCCCACACCAAGCCCACCGGCCCUCUCUUCUUCUGGGCCUACAUCUUCUACCUCUCCAAGAUCCUCGAGUUCGCCGACACCCUCCUCAUCAUCCUCAGCAAAUCCAUCCAACGCCUCACCUUCCUCCACGUCUACCACCACUCCACCGUCGUCAUCAUGUGCUACAUCUGGCUCCAAACCUCCCAGACCCUCUUCCCCGCCGUCCUCUUCACCAACGCCUCCGUGCAUGUCCUGAUGUACGCCUACUACUUAUCCUGCGCACUCGGGGUGCGCCCCAGAUGGAAGAAGAUCGUCACCAACGUUCAGAUCUUGCAGUUCUACUCCAGCUUCCUCGUUCUCGCCGUCAUGCUCUACUACCACUUCACCGGUUCUGGCUGCUCCGGCGUCUGGGGUUGGACCUUCAACGUCGUCUUCUACGCCUCUCUUCUCGUUCUCUUCGUAGACUUUCACAAGAAGAGUUACGGUGCAUCCUCCAAGAAGAAUAAGCUCGCCGUUAAGCCUUCCAAGACCUUCUUUUAUUCCAAUCACACUCACAAGUGAUUUGCACUAUUUAUGGUACGACAUCAUCAUUAUUCUUCCAAUUCAUUCUUUUUGUGAAAGCGAAAUUCCAUAGCAUGUCACGUAACCUGGUCGUGAGAACUACCAACAUGUCUCAGUUUCUCACUAUCAUCUACCUGUUUUUCAUUCCUCUACUUUUUUUUCCUUGAUUCUGACUCUGGGAACUUUUGUUAUCAAGCUAGAAUGGCAAAAGGCCGAAUAUUGAAAUUGGGGUAUGUGGGUGUUAAGGAUUUGGUUGAGUUCGUGGAAUAUUUUUUUUUCAAAUCGUUUUGUUAAUGUGGAUUUGUUUACUAUUACACGCACGACAUUUACCUUAAAAUCUGGGACAAAACCUAUGUACUCUAGAUAUAUAUAUAUAUAUAUAAUAGUUGGUGUUGUUGUUCCAUUAAAUGCGGAGCUUAUCUAAAAAUAGUCGUGUUUCAAGAUGAAACUAAUCAUUCCAUGAUUAUAUAUAUAUAGAUCGG